rnacentral:sRNA from 1 species
GAAAACUUCCCGCUGCCCACGGUGCAGCGCAGCCAGACGGUCCUCAACCAGCUGCGCUACCCGUCUGUGCUGCUGCUCGUGUGCCAGGACUCGGAGCAGAGCAAGCCGGAUGUCCACUUCUUCCACUGCGACGAGGUGGAGGCAGAGCUGGUGCACGAGGACAUCGAGAGCGCGUUGGCCGACUGCCGGCUGGGCAAGAAGAUGCGGCCGCAGACCCUGAAGGGACACCAGGAGAAGAUUCGGCAGCGGCAGUCCAUCCUGCCUCCUCCCCAGGGCCCGGCACCCAUCCCCUUCCAGCACCGCGGCGGGGAUUCCCCGGAGGCCAAGAAUCGCGUGGGCCCGCAGGUGCCACUCAGCGAGCCAGGUAGGCCGAGGGGCUGGAGGGGGCUCCACAGGGCUCAUUGUGGGGGGCUCGGUGAGCAGCCGCCGUGUCCCCCAUCAGGUUUCCGCCGUCGGGAGUCGCAGGAGGAGGAGCCGCGGGCCGUGCUGGCUCAGAAGAUAGAGAAGGAGACGCAAAUCCUCAACUGCGCCCUGGACGACAUCGAGUGGUUUGUGGCCCGGCUGCAGAAGGCGGCCGAGGCUUUCAAGCAGCUGAACCAGCGGAAGAAGGGGAAGAAGAAGGGCAAGAAGGCGCCAGCAGAGGGCGUCCUCACACUGCGGGCACGGCCCCCCUCUGAGGGCGAGUUCAUCGACUGCUUCCAGAAAAUCAAGCUGGCGAUUAACUUGCUGGCAAAGCUGCAGAAGCACAUCCAGAACCCCAGCGCCGCGGAGCUCGUGCACUUCCUCUUCGGGCCUCUGGACCUGAUCGUCAACACCUGCAGUGGCCCAGACAUCGCACGCUCCGUCUCCUACCCACUGCUCUCCCGAGAUGCCGUGGACUUCCUGCGCGGCCACCUGGUCCCUAAGGAGAUGUCGCUGUGGGAGUCACUGGGAGAGAGCUGGAUGCGGCCCCGGUAGGGCAGGGCAGAGCAGUGCCGGGGCUUCACGG